rnacentral:tRNA from 1 species
ACCUGGGUGGCUCAGUCGUUUGAGCAUUUGACUUCAGUUCAGGUCAUGAUCUCAUGGUUCGUGGGUUCAAGCCCCACGUCGGGCU